rnacentral:rRNA from 1 species
UACAGGAGGGUGCGAGCGUUUGUCCGGAAUCACUAGGGCGUAAAGGGCUCGUAGGUGGCCAACUAAGUCAGACGUGAAAAUCCCUCGGCUUAACCGGGGAACUGCGUCUGAUACUGGAUGGCUUGAAUUCGGGAGAGGGAUGCAGAAUUCCAGGUGUAGCGGUGAAAUGCGUAGAUAUCUGGAGGAAUACCGGUGGCGAAGGCGGCAUCCUGGACCGACAUUGACGCUGAGGAGCGAAAGCUAGGGGAGCAAACGGG